rnacentral:rRNA from 1 species
GACGAACGCUGACGGCGUGCUUAAUACAUGCAAGUCGAACGCAGUGGCGAAAGGGUGAGUCAGACUUGAGUAAACUGCCCUAACUUUAGGGAUAAGCAUUGGAAACGGGUUCUAAUACCUAAUAAAGGGGUAUGGGCUCGCGUCCUAUCUGCGUGUUGGUGGGGUGAUGGCCUUGCAAGGCGGUGACGGGUAGCCGGCCUGCGAGGGUGACCGGCCACAUUGGUAAUGAGCUAGUGCCCAGACUCAUACGGGAGGAAGCAGUGGGGGGUAUUGCACAAUGGGCGAAAGCCUUAUGCAGCGACGCCGCGUGGGGGAUGAAGGCUUUCGGGUUGUAAACCUCUGUCGCUAUCGAACGGGUAGGUGGCGAAGAAGCGCCGGCUAACUACGUGCCAGCAGCCGCGGUAAUAC